AGCUCCCCGAGUGGUGAGGACGAUUAUUGGGCCUAAAGCAUCCGUAGCCGGUCUAGUAGGUUUUCCGUUAAAUCUGACGAUCCAAUCGUUAGGCUGCGGGAAAUACCGCUAGACUAGGGGGCGGAAGAGGCCGACGGUACUCUUAGGGUAGGGGUGAAAUCCUAUAAUCCUGAGAGGACCACCAGUGGCGAAGGCGGUCGGCCAGAACGCACCCGACGGUGAGGGAUGAAAGCUGGGGGAGCGAACCGGAUUAGAUACCCGAGUAGUCC
rnacentral:rRNA from 1 species